rnacentral:lncRNA from 1 species
UUGAAAAAAAAAAUUCUUUUUAUUGCAAAAGAGAUAGUCAAGCACGUAAAUAAAAUCCGUCAUCUUCAACACCUUGUAGGCACUACUUACGCACCAAUCCUUGAUGGAAAAACUCACGAUGUUUAACAUAGUCAACAAACACGAAGACACAUUAGAAGUAGAAAACCAAAAGAUUGAUGAACAUUGUACUAAAACAGAGGGACCAAAACCCGGGUGGGCGAUGGAUAGUGGUUUCAAUCUUGAGUGGGUGGCUCGAUCAAUCUCACAGCACGGGGAAGCAUAAAUUCAGCAAAUAUAGGAUAGUGAGACGAAGGAUAAAGUCCAUCAACAUUAUCAUUCACGACCUCACAAGAGACAGGUACCAGUGAUCUACCCCUAAAAAGUAUCCAAUCGAUGUGCAGAUCCUGGGUUUGGCGAUCCCAGCAGAGGCAAAGUGCUCUGAAUAUUAACUUCAGGAAUUCAAGAGUCCCCUGCUUGUUACCUGACACAAUCUAGGUUACGUGGUUUUAAAGAGUUUAGCCCAUUAGAAGUCAAUGGUAGCGUAGAGGAUAAGUCAUCACCUUUAAAUCCAUGAUAAGUCCGAAUUAGAGAGACGUUUUUCCUCACACGGGCAUUUGGCCAUGCAUCUCUCAUAUCACCUACAACGCCAUGUUCUCUAAAAUAGAAAUAAUGAGAAAAAAGUAAGCAGCUAUCCAGUGUUCCAACUAAUAUUAGCAUCCAGCAAGAGGAUAAACACAACAAACUUCAGGCUCAUUAG